rnacentral:tmRNA from 1 species
GGGGAUGACAGGCUUCGACGGGAGAGGCUGGUUCCGGAAUGCGAGCCGAGCGCGCACCGACCUCGAUAAAUCAGUGCAAACUUUAAGUGCCAACCGCACUUCAUACGCUGCUAUGCCCCUCGCCGCCUAAGGUGAGUGCGUAACAGUUGACAUCUUAGGAUGUCACGUCCGCCGGCACCGUCCUUUACCGGGUGACGGACCGGGCGAAACAAAGGUAGAGUGCCGCACGUGAUUCUGCUAAUCGUGCGAAAGACACAGCAGAUGGUCACAGAGUUACCUGUCCGCCGAGAUCUCUGUGAUGACUAACUUCGGCAGACUACGCUCGUAGAUUUCCGAGGGUCGAAUCUUUCGGACGCGGGUUCAAUUCCCGCCAUCUCCACUC